AAAGAUCUAGUUAUAUAUGAUCUGAAAGAUUAAUAAAAUCAAUACUAAUCAAAAUUUGAAGAGAAAAAAAAGAAUCCUAAAACUGAAAAAAAUAGGAUCAAGAAAUUACGUCUUUAAACAAACAAACAGAAAACUGAAAAAAAAAACAAAAACAAAAAAAGAACAUAAAAGUCUUCAUCAAAAUCACACAUUUACAAAGUUGAAAAAUUUUGUCUCAGAAGAAGCUGUGGAGAAAAACAGGAUAUUUUGAACGGCCGGAGAACAAAAGAAAAUCGCUCUUUCCUCCGUCGCUUUCAUCGCUAACAAGAUCCUCAACGUUGCCCAGAGAAUUAUCAUGCUCGGCGCUCUCUGCUAAGACUGGAUCGCGAAGUGCAGCUGUCUAAUCUUCGACCACGAAAUUCAAGAGAGGAGCCGAGACGCAACACCCCCCCACCCCCCUACCCCCCAACACCCCCGCCCGAAGCCUCAGUGACGCAAUGGAAGCAGAAGCGAUGACGAAAGCGGCGCCCAGGAGAUGAAGCCCGCCCCUUCGAGUCAGCUGGGAGAUUAGCAUGAAUAGUGAACGUUCGAUAGUGAGAGUAUGAGGGGAUACAUGAGGGCGUUCGUGUUGCCUCGUUCGUCGCUGGGUGAAGAAGAGUGAGUGAGUGAGGAUUCCCCUCUCCCCCCUCCUCGUCUCCCCUUUCCCCUCCUCCUCCUCUUCCCCCUCGCCUCACUUGUCCCUGAUUCGGCGUCGGUGAGGGUCGUGGUUAGAUCCUCUCCCCCUCUUUUUCAUUCCCUCUUUUUUUCCCCAAUUAGAUCUACUCCUUUUCCUACUGUUCCCCUUCCUCUUCCUCUUCCUCUCCCCCCCUCCCCCCCGCCCAUGUGAGA